UACGUAGGGUGCAAGCGUUAUCCGGAAUUAUUGGCGUAAAGAGCUCGUAGGCGGUUUGUCGCGUCUGCUGUGAAAACUGGAGGCUCAACCUCCAGCCUGCAGUGGGUACGGGCAGACUAGAGGUCGGUAGGGGAGUGUGGAAUUCCUGGUGGAGCGGUGAAAUGCGCAGAUAUCAGGAGGAACACCCGUAGCGAAGGCGGCACUCUGGGCCGAUACUGACACUGAGGAGCGAAAGCGUGGGGAGCGAACAGG
rnacentral:rRNA from 1 species